UACGUAGGUCCCGAGCGUUGUCCGGAUUUAUUGGGCGUAAAGGGAGCGUAGGCGGACUUUUAAGUGAGAUGUGAAAUACUCGGGCUCAGCUUGAGUGCUGCAUUUCAAACUGGAAGUCUAGAGUGCAGGAGAGGAGAAUGGAAUUCCUAGUGUAGCGGUGAAAUGCGUAGAGAUUAGGAAGAACACCAGUGGCGAAGGCGAUUCUCUGGACUGUAACUGACGCUGAGGCUCGAAAGCGUGGGGAGCAAACAGG
rnacentral:rRNA from 1 species